UACGGGAAGCAGCAGUGGGGAAUAUUGCACAAUGGGCGAAAGCCUGAUGCAGCUAUGCCGCGUGUAUGAAGAAGGCCUUAGGGUUGUAAAGUACUUUCAUCGGGGAGGAAAAAACAAAACUAAUAAUUUUAUUUCUUGACGUUACCCGAAAAAGAAGCACCGGCUAACUCCGUGCCAGCAGCCGCGGUAAUACGGAGGGUGCUAGCGUUAAUCAGAAUUACUGGGCGUAAAGAGCACGUAGGUGGUUUUUUUAAAGUCAGAUGUGAAAUCCCUGGGCUUAACCUAGGAACUGCAUUUUGAAACUGAAAUACUAGAGUAUCGUAGAGGGAGGUAGAAUUCUAGGUGUAACGGUGAAAUGCGUAGAUAUCUGGAGGAAUACCUGUGGCGAAAGCGGCCUCCUAAACGAAUACUGACACUGAGGGUGCGAAAGCGUGGGGAGCAAACAGGGAUUAGAUACC
rnacentral:rRNA from 1 species